rnacentral:rRNA from 1 species
GAAAGAGGAGAGAUUUUAAAUAAGUUGUUAAAUCUUUAAUUAUAAAUUAUAAUUCAGCAAGCGCAUAAUGUGAUAUGAAUGGCUGCUAAUUUCAGAUUUGGCGCUCAGAUAAUCCAUUACAAGCUGAUAUUGUAUCUAUAACCUUUCAUGUACAUUAAACUAAAACAAUAAAAUGGAUAUAAACUCUUUUCUUAUCAAUAGAUUCCUUUCGUUUUGGAGAAGUCACUUUUCGUCAAAACUUCUUCUUUGAUUGAGCUUUUGGAAUCCACGCACAUGUCUGAAGCCAACUGUCUUGAAACAUUGACCACGUAGUAUUCU